UACGAAGGGGGCUAGCGUUGUUCGGAAUCACUGGGCGUAAAGGGCGCGUAGGCGGCUUUAUAAGUCGGGGGUGAAAGCCUGUGGCUCAACCACAGAAUUGCCUUCGAUACUGUAGAGCUUGAGACCGGAAGAGGUAAGUGGAACUGCGAGUGUAGAGGUGAAAUUCGUAGAUAUUCGCAAGAACACCGGUGGCGAAGGCGGCCAACUGGUCCGGAUCUGACGCUGAGGCGCGAAAGCGUGGGGAGCAAACAGGAUUGAGAAACCC
rnacentral:rRNA from 1 species